CCUACGGGAGGCAGCAGUGAGGAAUAUUGGUCAAUGGCCGCAAGCCUGAACCAGCCAAGCAGCGUGAAGGAUGACUGCCCUACGGGUUGUAAACUUCUUUUAUCAAGGCAUAAAGUGAGGCACGUGUGCCUUUUUGUAUGUACUUUAUGAAUAAGGAUCGGCUAACUCCGUGCCAGCAGCCGCGGUAAUACGGAGGAUCCGAGCGUUAUCCGGAUUUAUUGGGUUUAAAGGGAGCGUAGAUGGGGUGUUAAGUCAGUUGUGAAAGGUCGCGGCUCAACCGUAAAAUUGCAAUUGAUACUGGCAGUCUUGAGAACAGUAGAGGUAGGCGGAAUGCGUGGUGUAGCGGUGAAAUGCUUAGAUAUUACGAAGAACUCCGAUUGCGAAGGCAGCUUACUAAACUGCCACUGACAUUGAUGCACGAAAGUGUGGGUAUCAAACAGGAUGAGAUACCCCUGUAGUC
rnacentral:rRNA from 1 species